rnacentral:sRNA from 1 species
GCGCUUGGUUGAAAAGCCAGUG